AUGCUUCCAUUGGCAGCACAUGUACCAAAAUUGAAAUGAUACAGAGAACACUAGCAUGGCCCCUACACAGAAUAAUAUGCAAAUUUGUGAAGCGGUCCAUAUUUUU